rnacentral:rRNA from 1 species
AAUCAGCAAUGAUUCUUAGUGGCGAACGGGUGAGUAACGCGUAGACAACCUGCCUUCUAGAUGGGGACAACACUGCGAAAGUGGUGCUAAUACCGAAUGUUGCAUUAAGCCUGCAUGGGCUUGAUACUAAAGGUGGCUUCUAUUUAUAAGCUAUCACUAGAAGAUGGGUCUGCGUCUGAUUAGCUAGUUGGUGAGGUAAUGGCUCACCAAGGCGAUGAUCAGUAGCCGGUCUGAGAGGAUGAACGGCCACACUGGGACUGAGACACGGCCCAGACUCCUACGGGAGGCAGCAGUGGGGAAUCUUCCGCAAUGGACGAAAGUCUGACGGAGCAACGCCGCGUGAGUGAAGAAGGUUUUCGGAUCGUAAAGCUCUGUCUUUGAGGACGAAUGUGUCUAAUGUGAAUAAUGUUAGAUAAUGACGGUACUCGAGGAGGAAGCCACGGCUAACUACGUGCCAGCAGCCGCGGUAAUACGUAGGUGGCAAGCGUUGUCCGGAAUUAUUGGGCGUAAAGCGCGCGCAGGCGGGAUAUUAAGUCUGUUUUAAAAGUUCGGGGCUCAACCCCGUGAUGGAAUGGAAACUAAUAUUCUUGAGUGCAGGAGAGGAAAGUGGAAUUCCCAGUGUAGCGGUGAAAUGCGUAGAUAUUG